AUGAUCGAGGAAGGUCUACAAGGGGUCAAGAUAUGUAGAGGGGCCCCGGUCAUCUCACAUCUCUUAUUUGUGGAUGAUUCCCUCCUGUUUUUCCAUGCCUCAGAGCAGCAGGCUCUUUUGGUUAAAGGUGUGUUGAACACGUAUUCGGCGGCAACAGGACAAUUGAUCACCCCGUCGAAGUGUUCCAUCCUUUUUUCAGAUAACUGUCUGCAGAGUGUGGCUCGGGAGGUCAAAACUGUGUUGGAGAUUACUCAAGAGGUGUUUGAGCCCAAGUACUUGGGGUCUUCCUGUCCCGGAAGGAAGAAUUCACAAAGGUAA
rnacentral:rRNA from 1 species